rnacentral:lncRNA from 1 species
CUCAAACAAUCCUCCUGCCUUGGCCUCCCAAAGUGCUGGAAAAGUAUGUUUAAGUCACCACAUCCAGCUGAUAGUUCUAAUUUUUUAUACUGAAAUCAGACUUACAGCAAUGAAAUAAAUCCCAAUAACCUUUAUUUAGUCAUUCAUUCCAAUCUCCUCAGCACCUUGGCCAGGGCUGCUGAUGAAAGCUAAUUGGGCCUCAAAGUAUCAAAUGGUCUCUCCCGCCUUACUCUGUUAUCAUUCCACAAUCACAAAAAGACAGCCUAUUCAUGCUCCUUCCUUUAGCACAGUGAUUUUACCUGUCUGCGUCACUAGGAACAUGCCCACGUAUCACAAUCAAAGUUCCAGGAUCCAGCUGAUCAGGAAUGGUGCCAACAAACGGGAUUACCUAAGAAAAAAAAUUUAACAAAUGUACGUUUACAUAAACAAAAUUACUUACUAAGCAAUUACAACCCACACUCAUUAUUGAUAGAGAAAAACUACACUUUUUAAGGCUGCACAUAAAUCUGCUCAGAAUCCAGCAUUUUCCAAGUCAUCUUUCCUAUUCAAACAGCUAGAAAAAGGAACUGCGGCCGGGCGCGGUGGCUCACGCCUGUAAUCCCAGCACUUUGGGAGGCCGAGGCGGGAGGAUCACGAGGUCAGCAGAUCGAGACCAUCCUGGCUAACACGGUGAAACCCCGUCUCUACUAAAAAUACAAAAAUUAGCCGGGUGUGGUGGUGGGCGCCUGUAGUCCCAGCUACUCGGGAGGCUGAGGCAGGAGAAUGGCACGAACCUGGGAGGCGGAGCUUGCAGUGAGCCGAGAUCGCGCCACUAUGCUCCAGCCUGGGCGACAGAGCAAGGCUCCGUCUCAAAAAAAAAAAAAGGAACUGCAUACCUCAUGGCCAGGAUAUCUGCAAUAGCUGCAAACCACUAUGAGUUCUUUGGAAAGAGACACAAGAAGGUUCGAGGCCACACUAGGCCCAAAGCCAAUGCUGACGGAGACAAUGACAAGCACUCACUGCCUCUGAAGGAAACUCCACGUUAAGCCACGCCCCCACACCUGGGAUUCCAGGGCCUGCUCUUCUCUGCUGGACUCCCAGACUGCAACCCAGACUGCACUGUUAGAAACCAGAGAACUGCAUGAUCAUGAGGAUGAGUGGGUGCCUGUGGGUCUUCAAGACAUGGCAUCCACCUGCCGUGGACCAGUCCAGUCUGCAGGCGUGGACUCUGACAGCUGGCUCCACCCAGUAUUCAGGUCUCAACCUGCACCCUCACUGCCCAGAACCCAGCCCUUUUUUUCUGGGACCUGCCACACUGCCAGAUCUUGUCAUUCCCCUUCCCCAGAGAUGACUACACUGUCUUCCCAGUCCACUGGCUGGGGACCUGUGCUAUGUGGCUGCCUCUCCUGCAUCACAACCAUCUGCCUCCAUCUAGAGCAUCUGACCAGGAUGUACAGCCCACACACCGUUAAGCCUCACACUAAGCUCACUCAAAUUACGAUGUGCAUGGUAAAACCUACCCAAGGUACUUCUGAUUGUCAAGAAAUAAGAAAUAAAAUAAGACGGGCCACAGAAAAGUGGUUAUAAAUUGGUGGCUCCUAAACCGAAAUCGCCUUGAGGCACAGCCUCCUCUGUGGAGCCUUCUUCAAGCUCCCUGGGCUGCUGAGUCAGCCCCUCUCAGAGGGUUCAUGAUAGCACUUUGGAUUCUGUUUGUUUGCAUGUAGCUUUGCCUAGACUGUGAGCUGCAUGGGGCAGAACUGGCUCAUCACCUUUACCUCCCCAGGACACAGGUCAAGAGACGAUCGGUAACUGCAUGGUGAAUGAAUGAACUCUCACCUGUCUGGAAAGUGGGCUCUGGCAGGCCUCACACAUACAGAGGAGAGGCAACAAAGCAGCUGCUGAACCGCAAGCUGAGCCCACAAGCUCUCUGUUGCCUUAGGCAAUAAGAUGAGAAAUUACGGAAGCCAAUUAUCUAUUUGUUGUCAUGGCAAUUGCUAGGAGCAGGGUGGGAGGCACAUGACACCAGAAAACAAAAAAUACAACAGACAGUGUAGACUGGGGCUACAGCUGCACAUCAGAGUAUCUGAUUUUGUGUGUAGAGAAUGGGGAAGGACCUACAUCCCUACAUUGAUCUUUUGGGUCACAGCUGGUUCCAAGAAUAUAUAGCAGCAGGUUUCAUAGCGUUAAUCUCUUAAUAAAAUGAGAAGUUUUUAUAACAUCAAA